CGGUAAUUCCAGCUCCAAUAGCGUAUACUAAAGUUGUUGCGGUUAAAAAGCUCGUAGUUGGAUUUCUGUCAGUGAGUGAUGCUCCGCCCCUCGUGGUGAGUAGUCAUCAUGCCGCUGGCAUCUUCUUGGGGAGUGUAUCUGCACUUCACUGUGUGGUGCACAAGCCAGGACAUUUACUUUGAGGAAAUGAGAGUGUUUCAAGCAGGCGUGCGCCGUGAAUACGUUAGCAUGGAAUAAUAGCAUCGGACCUCGCUCCAAAGCUGUUGGUUUCUUGGGUCGAGGUAAAGGUGAAUAGGGAUUGUUGGGGGCAUUCGUAUUUAACUGUCAGAGGUGAAAUUCUUGGAUUUGUUGAAGACGGACUACUGCGAAAGCAUCUGCCAAAGAUGUUCUCACUGAUCAAGAACGAAAGUUAGGUGAUCGAAGACGAUCAGAUACCGUCCUAGUCUUAACCAUAAACUAUGCCGACUGGAGAUAGGGGGUCGUUAAAUCUAUGACGCCUUCUGCAUCUUGAGAGAAAUCAAAGUCUUUGGGUUCCGGGGGGAGUAUGGUCGCAAGGCUGAAACUUAAAGGAAUUGACGGAAGGGCACCACCAGGAGUGGAGCCUGCGGCUUAAUUUGACUCAACGCGGGAAAACUCACCAGGUCCAGACAAAAAUAGGAUUGACAGAUUGAUAGCUCUUUCUUGAUUCUUUGGGUGGUGGUGCAUGGCCGUUCUUAGUUGGUGGAGUGAUUUGUCUGCUUAAUUGCGUUAACGAACGAGACCUCAGCCUGCUAAAUAGUGCGUUCUAACCUCGGUUAAAUCGAUCACUUCUUAGAGGGACUUUGCCCGCUUUAGGGUAGGGAAGUUUGAGUCUAAAACAGGUCUGUAAUGCCCUUAGAUGUUCUGGGCUGCACGCGCGCUACACUGAUGCGUUCAACGAGUGUAUAACCUUGCCAGACAUGGUUGGGUAAUCUUUUGAACACGCAUCGUGAUGGGGAUAGAUCAUUGCAAUUAUUGAUCUUCAACGAGGAAUUCCUAGUAAGCAUAAGUCAUCAGCUUAUGUUGAUUACGUCCCUGCCCUUUGUACACACCGCCCGUCGCUUCUACCGAUUGAGUUUCUCGGUGAAUACUUUGGACAAACCCUCUUAGCGGUUCGCCGCUUUUUGGGAUUGAAAAUUGAGUGAACCUCGAAACUUAGAGGAAGAAGAAGUCGUAACAAGGUAACC
rnacentral:rRNA from 1 species